ACCAAAAAUGAAGUCUCAACCCUUGUUAGAGCA
rnacentral:tRNA from 1 species